GUGCUCACUUUGACAACAUAUAUACUAAAACUGGAAUGAUAGAGAGAAGAUUAGCUGGCCCCUGGGCAAGGAUGACACACAAGUUCAGGAAGCAUUCCAUAUUUUU